rnacentral:tRNA from 1 species
GCCUGGGUGGCUCAGUCGGUUAAGUGUCUGACUUCCACUCAGGUCAUGAUCUCAUGGUUCGUGGGUUUGAGUCCUGUGUUAGGCU